UUUAAUGCUCUAAAAGGUAAUUAAAAAAUCCAUUUAACAACCUGAUCGUAGGUCGCUCUGCUUCAUGGAGACCCGAAAUUAGUUUUUCACCACCAGUGACAGGAGCUAGCCUUGAUGCUAUUUUAUGGAAGAAUCUUAUCUGUAAAAAGAAUAAUAUAUGAUUUCUUAUUGAGAAAUAAAAAAAUUUAUAAAAAAUACAACUAUCAGAUUAAUUAAUUUGCUUGUUGGGAUACCAAGCAUCGGUGAGAGUCCGGGUUUCUAGCAUCCAAUCGGUGUAGUUGCUUUAGGGCCUGAUGACACACAAAAGUUAGUUAAGUUAUUAUCCAAAUCAAAUAAAAGAAACUAGUUCUUUUUUUUUUUUUUAAAUUUCCAUCCAAAUUUUUAUUUGAAAUAAGUGUUGGGUUUUGAGCAUUCUAACACUCCUAUGGUGUACAUGCAACCCUAUAAACCUUGGAUCUAUGUUUUCUCUAUAAUACAUGCAAAUAAGAACUUUCCAAGGCUUUAAUCCUAACUAGCAUAUUAUGAAGUUCUUAUACUACAAAGUACUAGUUAGAUGACAUACCUUUUUGAUGUAGCUUGAUGUCUUCAAGCUUUAAGAGCUUAGCCCCAAUAGUGUGGAAGCCUCAAAUGGAAUCACAAAUCACCAAAACACCUUGGAAGANUUCCCCAACCGGACAUCUUUAUAUAGUAUGGAGGAUUAGGGUUAAACCCUAAUACCCAUGACCUUUCAUUUCCUAGGAUCCAUGGGUUAAACACUCCAUGGAAUAUCAAUGAAAGCUUAGCCCAACCUAAAUGAACUUGGCCCAUUCCAUAUAUAUAAGAGUCCAUAUUUAAUUAGUUCCUUUUGAUCACUUAAUUAAUUAUAAAUUAAUUCUUGAUCAAUACUAAUUAAAUAAUAUGAUUCCAUAUUAAUAUAUUAGAACUUAUAAUAUAUUAAUAUUAAUCAUAAACAUACUAUUCUCAAAAGAUUAUCCAUAUAAAUUGUGUCGGUGAAGUGCAACCCAAAUGGACCAUGCCGGGUCGGGUCAAGUACAUACCAAAUAUAGUUAUGGACUUAGACAUUAAUCCAACAGUCUCCCACUUGGAUAAGUCUAAAACUAUUAUUGCGUAUGACUUCAAACCUAACUGGCAAUCGUAGCUCUUAAAGCCGCUGUCGAACUCUGAUCUUGUCAACGAACUUGUCCAUUAGAUAAGGGAUCAUAUAUUCCUCCAUUCUAGAUAUCAUAUGGACUGAGACAUGGAUUAUAAUCAUUCUCUCUGUCCAUUUGUUGUUUCCCGAUUUCCGAUUUAUGACGACUGACUAAUUGAACAAAUCAAAUCAGUCCUGGCCCGGCCGAGCACUUCCAUUUGUCAUCAUCAAAUCAUCGAGGGGCCCACAGAUAUCGCUUUUAUCCCGAAGGUAAAAGGAAUGGAUAAACUUCGACUCAUAUGGCUUGUUCUACUACUUGUUGAAUCAUACACAAAGGCACGUUUUAUAGCACCGAGUUACCAAAUGCGUUUUCGUGCAAUCAAUGUACAACCAACUCAUAGUAACAACUCAUAUCUCUAGGUUUGAAGAAUAUAAGAUAUUAUCGUCUCAUGAUCACUCGUGAUAAAAUCCAUGAAGUGAUUCCAAUGAGCGCGGGUUGAAUCCAAUACUCAGAACUUAUGAGCACUCAUGAGUGUUGUAGCCCUUUGUCCAACACCUUAGACCUCUACAAGCCAACCCAUGACAGUCUUAAUUCAUAUCUACUUCCAACAUAUGACCGACUGUGGAUGGUUUGAAUAACUUAGUCAUUCCGGAAGAAUAACCUAGUUUAUUCGGGAAGUCAAAACAUGCAAAGUGAAACACAAUAAUAAUUGAAUCCAAUAUGGUAUCAACCCUUUGAACAUAAAUAAAACACCUUUUAUUUAUCACCAUAUGAUUACACAUUAUUCAUUGUAUACUGUUUCAGCUAUCAACUUUAUUCUUGAAUUUAAAACAAUAGUUGUCCCAUGCUCCAAGCAUGUACACUAUGUUUUCUUAAACACUAGUCAUGCCACACACCAAGUAUGCAUACUAUGUUUGUCUAUGAUCUUUACUUUGUGAACUAGAUCAAUUGAACAUAACUUCAAUGAUUCUCUUUUCACACUCCCAAAUCCUUACUGCAAAUGCAAGAAUUCCAAAUUCAUGCCAUUUACUGAAAUCUGUUAGAUUCUAAACUUAUAUGCAUUGAUCCUCUUGUAAUGAUUAUGCACAAAGUCACAAAGACUUGGCAACAAUCAUUACAGAGUAUUCCAAAGGAGAUCAACUCCUUGGAAAUAUCCUUCUUGCAUUAAGUUUCCUUAAUCUUACACAGAUUGAAAAUUCUAACUUUGAAACAUUUCCAGAUUCCAUUUUGACUAUCACUUCUGAACAAGAGUUGCCUCCUUACAGAUUAUGUCAAUAUGGUCCUUCCAGAAUUAUCACUAUACUUCCAAUUGUCCUUGAGUAACCAAUCUUUGGUAAACCUUAGAUUGUCCUCGACAAUUGUUUAAUCCUUUUAGUCAUAUCCAGUUCUAAACCUUUUCCCUUCUUAAUGCCCCAGGCAUUUGGAAAAUUUUAGAACGGAUGAAUAUAGCACAUGUAAUCGAUCCUAUAUCCGAAGCAUAUGGGACACGAUUCAUGAUGUCUUACAUAAAGACUAAACCAGUCUUUUGCUAUAAUAUUUCCAUUUCAAUUUGCCAAGUUCUCAUAAUUCAGAUUAUGAAAAGGGAUGCCGUAAUCAUAAUCGAAUUUUAGAACGCAAAUAAUGGACCCAUAUACAGAAUUUCCUUAUGUUGAGCCAUUCCAACAUGAAAUUCAUAUAUAUCCUUGACUAAAUGAUUAAAACCUCACGAUCUAAGCUUAUAGAUUUGAGAUGAAGCAUAAUUUCCUCUCCCUUAAUUAUAGCAAAACAACUUUUUCCCAAUUGAAACUUUUGUUUUCUAUAAUUAACAUUGCUAACUUGCAAUACUUAUCAUAAUUAUCAUGCUCCCACUAACAUGAUGAUUAUUAGCAUAACACUUAUGCUCCCACUAGCUUUGACAUGUACUCAGAAAUCAGCUGGACAGUCUGAAAUUUAGAUUCAUACACCCUUUCCGUAGAUAGCUCACCUGUGUGUCUAAGCAAUUUCAAGAACCAUGAAAAGGGAUACCGUAAUCAUGGUCUCAAUUGCUUAGGCAUUUGCCAUUUCUCACAAGUCCAUGUUAGUGUGCCGGUUAACCACACGCGCUCCACUAACGACUUUUGAAAAUGCAAAUAACACAAUUGAUAUCUUCGUAAAAUCUACUUAGUGAAAGCGUUUCCUCACCAUCAUUUUCAUGAAUCGGAGAGAAACCUUAUGACACUUAGAUUUAUAUGGUGUAUGAGUUCCUACCCAUAUGAAUUUGUCAAACCAUAAUCACAAGACAAAGAUAAUGACAAAUCCAAAACCAUAUGGAUUGAACUCAAUCUUAACUUCUUGCCACCUGGCAGCUCAAGGGCCUGCCAUUGCUUCCAAGUUGUUAUGCAACAAACUGAGAACUCUAAGAACUCAUAUGCAAAGCCAACUUUAACUGGAAUGGGCACAGAUAUGUCAACACGAUAGGUUAUAAACCUCAAGUCGUGUGCUAGUGAAGAACUUUAGGUUUUAUUCUUGAUUAUUUCUUGAGACUUUCAAGACCUUUAAGACUCCCACUGUCCUCUUGACAUAUAAGACUCCCUUGUCAAACAUCCAAGAGAUAGUGCGGAUUCUAAUCAAGAAAAACACUUUACCCAAUUGGCCUAAGUUGGUCUUUGUUUUAUCCAAAACAUCACAACUUACCAAUUUCAAAUGUACAAGAGUAGAAAACUUUUACUCUUACAUUUGACAAGUGUUUUAAACCUUCUUUAAGACAUGUCACUCAAAUGACAAUCUUGGAGUAUGACUCUAAGACUUGUAUUGGAACGAAGUAUGACUCAUCUUCUUGAUUUAACCAUUUCAACAAUUCAAGUUCCUCUUCUUAGUCAUAAGAAUGCACUAAGAUUUCCUUAGAGAACUAAUUUUGAUAUGGUUUCUUAAUCAUUAAGAUGAUCACAAAACUGAUACUAAAGUACUCUCCCAUCUUUUCAGAUUUGAGAAACUUUUAUCCUUCUGCCUUAUUUGAUUCUUCUUAUCGAUCUUUAGUGGUGGACUUAAUCAGUGCACAAGAAUGUGUACUCGAUCCCUAAGUCCUUUACUUGACUCACACAUCCAUGUGAACAAGUAAUUAGUCUUAAUUUUCCAAAACUUGAAAGUUCUCAUUCAUCAUGCUAUACAACUUGCAUGAUUCCAAGUUCCGGUCCAAUUGAAACUUGGGUGAUGAGAAUCUUUCCUUAUUUGGUAAAUUUAGACAUUACCACAAAUGAAAGAAUCAAUUUCAUAUUUCCACUCUUGCUCUUAAUGGAAUCAUAUAAGCAACAAUUUUUCCUCAAAUGCCAUUGUAAGGAUAUUUUAAAAUAAAUAAAAAAAAAAAUUUUCUUUUAUUUUAAAACUUUGCGGAAAAACUUAUCCUUACAAUCCAUAUGAAAACUUGUUGUUAUCUAUUCCUAAGCAAUAUCUCAUAACUCCUAAGAAGUAGCUCAAGAAUCCGAUCUUCAAACUAUGCGAUAGAAAUCCAUCUACGCCAUCAGAUUCAGCAUAUUCUUUCUUUAAGUUUCUUCACUUUUCUUUGAUUCUUAAAACAUCACCAUGUGACCCAGUCACAUCAUGUAUCAAGAAUCUCAGAAUAGAAACUUAACAGAGUUAGAUAGUGGACUUUACCUGAAGUAGAGUCAAACUUAUUGACUUUAACAUCCUUAGGUAAAUUUGGCAGCUUCGCAACCAAUGCCCCUUCCUUUGGCAAUAUAAACAUAUGGACCCUUUGAUAAUGGUACACAGGACUAUCACAGACUUAGCUUUUCUCUUUACCAUUUGGUCAACCGAGUUGACUAUGGCCGAUCCCUUUCCAUUGGGAAGAGAAUGCUUUACUGGAUAUCCAAUGUCAUCAUUGUCAAUGUCCAUAAAGUUUUAGGAAGUUGAUCUUAGCAAAUAGAUAAGAUCAUUAAGGGUCUUGUCAUAGUCUGUUUCAUAGGUGUCCCAAAGGAACUCACUAUGUGACUUAGAAAGUGAUUGAACCACCAACUUUCUCAAGACUUUGACACCCAACUCUCCCGGCUUGUCAAUAUGUGACUACAUCUCCAAGAUGUGAUCACACCUAGACCUUGCCUUGCCAAUAGGGCUUGAGUGACCUUAAACUUUUCAAGAACUUGUGGGUUAGGGAGAAUAAUUGGAGGAGGAGAAAGAAGUAUGAUAUCCAUGGGACAUCAUCUUCAUUAGGAAACCUUGUUUCAAGAGAUUUGGGAAGAUCAUAAGUGUCUAAACCAGACAUCUUUUGGGAGAUAUUCAAGAUAGUUGAUUUAAAGUCCUUAAUAUGACACCCAAUAUGAAAUAUUAAGGCUAGGACCCAACAAACUAUUUUAUAACUUAGAAGAGGUAUGCCGUAAUCCAAGCUAUAAAAUAUUUGAAGGUAGGUGAAUGACGAUUCACCAAUUUCCACCAAGAUAAACGAAAUGUAUUAUUAGGUUUUAAUUGGUUUUGAAACUCCUAGAUCUUUGAGAUUCAUUGAACUGUUCAAUGGCAUGUUUCAAUCUCGAGUGUGCCCUUCAGGUUUUGUGACUGGGAUGCCGAGGAUCACAAAACAAGGUGUGAAGUAACCAUGCAAAUUACUUGGUACCCUUAAGUGUUUACCCCUCAAUCAAUGUGCCAGUUAACCACACACGCUCCACCGAUACUAUGAUAAACAUUAAGUUACCCUUUGCCUACCUUGUUAAAUAUGAGUUAGUGUGCUGGUUAACCACACACACUCCACUAACCGACUUAAACAAAGUGCAAAGUGUAGUUUCAUGGAUUAGCACCUUACUCACAUUUUCCUAAGUGACUAAGAUUUAGUAUUUAUAAGAGUUUAGUUACUUAGUAUUUAUCAUUAAUACUUUUAAUGAAGGGAGAAUUAUAGUCCUGUCAAACCCGUUCGGCUAACGACCCUCCACCAGUCAAGCAAGCGGUGGGUGAGAGUGGACACCCAUUAAGUUGCCAUUUUAUAGGCAACAACCUUAUACCCACCUUAUAGACCGGCUUCGUGAAUGAGGCGUACUAGCGGUAAGACUGACUUUACUCUUAUACAUAUAUAUAUUAUUAACUUAUAAUAUUAUAAAGUAUAAGGGUUGAAUUUUAACUUUUAAAAUUCUAAGGGCUAACUUGGAAUUAAAGUAUUCAUAAGUGAAAACUUUACAAAUUCCAAAACUUGAGGGCAAGUUUUGAAACUAUUCAAAACUAAUUAAUUCCAUAACUUAUGUGUUUAAAGUAGUUUUAAUCCAAAAACUCUUCAAGUUCCAUAACUUGAGGACAAGUUAUGGAAGACUUUAAACUAAUAAAAGAAUUAACUUUUCUUUAUUUUAUAACUUAUGGAAUUAAUUAAGGUUACCCUUUUUUUUAUUUUAUUUUAUUUUAUUAAAUGAAGAGACUCUUGGUCCUCCAUAACUUGAGGACAAGUUAUGGAGUCAUAAAACCAUUUAAUUAGAACUAGACUCUUCAUUUUUGUAACCUUUGCCAAUUUUUAUGAGUUUUAUGAUUCUUAAAUGUGACUUUUCAUAUAACUUGAGGACAAGUUACAAAAACACAUUUUAGAAUCAAUUCUUAGAUUAAUUUGGAUUAAAACCAACUAUCACAUAAUUUUAUUCAUUAAUCUAAAUUCACUCAUAAAACAAGGUAACACAAAAAACUUUUGGUGAUCCAUAACUUAUUCUUAAGUUAUGGAAUCCUUUAAAACAUUAACACCAAAUUUUGUAACUCCAAAAAAACUUUGAAUCAAUUUUUUUUUUAAAACCUUUUCAUAUCCAUAACUUAUGGAGGUUUCAAAAAAUAAAACUCUUUAGAUCAAACUUUUAAAACUAAUAAAAUAAUCAUAUUAUUUUAUCUUUUAUUAAAUUUGACCUAAUUCAACUCAUAAAGCAAAUUAUUCAAAUUUUACAAAUAAUUAGUUUUUCACAAGAACAAGUAAUUAUCUUAAAAUUUGACGAACUUCAUGUUUUUUUUUUUUUUUUUUUUCAACUUUGAAAAUAAAAUAUUUGCAUCAAUAUAACAGAAAACAACCCGUGGCUCUGAUACCACUGUUGGGUUUUGAGCAUUCUAACACUUCCUAAGUGUACAUGCAACCCUAAAUACCUUGGAUCUAUGUUUUCUCUAUUAUACAUGCAAAUAAGAACAUCCAAGGUAUUAUCCUAAUCUAGCAUACAAAAACUAUGAAUGUAACAAGAUAGAAUACAUACCUCUUGAUGUAGCUUGAUGUCUUCAAGCUUUAAGAGCUUAGCCCCAAUAGUGUGGAAGCCUCAAGUGGAAUCACAAAUCACCAAGACACCUUGGAAUACUUUAGAGAAUAUGAUUACUUGGUUCUCUCUAGUGAAAUUGGCUAGCCCUUCUUUAGUGUAUCCACACUAGUGCCAAUUUCACCAACCAAAGACAUCUUUAUAUAGUAUGGAGGAUUAGGGUUAAACCCUAAUACCCAUGACCUUUCAUUUCCUAGGAUCCAUGGGUUAAACACUCCAUGGAAUAUCCAUGAAAGCUUAGCCCAACCUAAAUGAACUUGGCCCAUUCCAUAUAUAUAAGAGUCCAUAUUUAAUUAGUUCCUUUUGAUCACUUAAUUAAUUAUAAAUUAAUUCUUG
rnacentral:lncRNA from 1 species